GCUGGGCACGGUGGCGCGUGCCUGUAGUCCCAGCUACUAGGGAGGCUGAGGCAGGAGAAUUGCCUGAACCCAGGAGGCGGAGGUUGUGGGGAGCCGAGAUCGCGCCAUUGCACUCCAGCCUGGGUAACAGAGCAAGACCCCGUCUCAA
ensembl:misc_RNA Metazoa_SRP Metazoan signal recognition particle RNA